GCCUUCGUGGUGUAACGGUAAUACACUCGGCGCGUAAUCGAGAGGUCCAGGUUCGAGUCCCGGCGAGGGCA
rfam:Stegodyphus mimosarum contig106137, whole genome shotgun sequence.